rnacentral:rRNA from 1 species
ACUCAAAUGAAUUGACGGGGACCCGCACAAGCAGCGGAGCGUGUGGUUUAAUUCGAUGCUACACGAAGAACCUUACCCAGAUUUGACAUAUAGGUGGUAGUGAACCGAAAGGGGAGCGACCCGCAAGGGAGCCUAUACAGGUGUUGCAUGGCUGUCGUCAGCUCGUGUCGUGAGAUGUUGGUUUAAGUACCCUAACGAGCGCAACCCUUACUGCCAGUUACAAGUGUCUGGCGGGACUGCCGGCCACAAGCCGGAGGAAGGCGAGGAUGACGUCAAGUCAGCAUGGCCUUUAUAUCUGGGGCUACACACACGCUACAAUGGGCAUCAACAAUGGGUAGCCAAGCCGCGAGGCGGAGCCAAUCCUCAAAACUGCCCUCAGUUCAGAUUGCAGGCUGCAACUCGCCUGCAUGAAGUUGGAGUUGCUAGUAAACGCGCGUCAGCUAUAGUGCGUUGAAUACGUUCCCGGGUCUUGUACACACCGCCCGU